CAGCCGCCGCGGGAAUACGGAGGAUCCAAGCGUUAUCCGGAAUCAUUGGGUUUAAAGGGUCCGUAGGCGGUCUUGUAAGUCAGUGGUGAAAGCCCAUCGCUCAACGGUGGAACGGCCAUUGAUACUGCAGGACUUGAAUUAUUGGGAAGUAACUAGAAUAUGUAGUGUAGCGGUGAAAUGCUUAGAGAUUACAUGGAAUACCAAUUGCGAAGGCAGGUUACUACCAAUUGAUUGACGCUGAUGGACGAAAGCGUGGGUAGCGAACAGGAUUAGAUACCCCGGUAGUCCCUGUCUCUUAUAA
rnacentral:rRNA from 1 species